rnacentral:siRNA from 1 species
GACGUGUGCCUCUGAUGUUCGCCA